CACCUUCUCUCCCCUUCUGGUACACCUCCUCCUACUGCUUUGUCUGUAAUUCCAGGACCCUCAGACGAGGCAGACUAUUGGGAUCGGCCGUAAGCACGGACGUCUCUAUGAGCUCAUUCACCUUCAUGUUCCUGCCUCUCCUCAGAUUGCUGCUCCUGCCUCUGCUUCCUCAUUAUCUCCUUUUCAGCUUUGGCAUUGUCGCUUAGGACAUAUUUCUAUUACUCGCUUAAAGUCUUUGGUUUCUAGUGGACAAUUGGGUCAUGUAAUUCCAGAUACUUUCGAUUGUAUACCCUGUCAACUUGCCAAACAACCUGCUUUAUCAUUCAAUAAAAGUACUUCUGUUUCCUGUGCACCUUUUGAUCUUAUACAUUCGGAUAUUUGGGGCCCUUCCCCUACCACUACUAUGGGGGGAUCUCGUUAUUUUGUUGUUUUCAUUGA